UCCGGUUUGUCACCGGCAGUCCCACUAGAGUGCCCAACUGAAUGUGGCAACUAAUGGCAAGGGUUGCGCUCGUUGCGGGACUUAACCCAACAUGUCACCACACGAGCUGACGACAGCCAUGCAGCACCUGUCUCUCUGCUUACUUGCGUAAGAAGCCGUAUCUCUACGGAUGUCAGAGGAUGUCAAACCCAGGUAAGGUUCUUCGCGUUGCUUCGAAUUAAACCACAUGAUCCACCGCUUGUGCGGGCCCCCGUCAAUUCCUUUGAGUUUUAGUCUUGCGACCGUACUUCCCAGGCGGGGAACUUAUCGCGUUAGCUCCGGCUCAGCAGGGGUCAAGACCCGCUAAGCCUAGUUCCCAUCGUUUACAGCGUGGACUAC
rnacentral:misc_RNA from 1 species